UGGGGAAUAUUGGACAAUGGGCGCAAGCCUGAUCCAGCCAUGCCGCGUGAGUGACGAAGGCCUUAGGGUUGUAAAGCUCUUUUGGCGGGGACGAUAAUGACGGUACCCGCAGAAUAAGCCCCGGCUAACUUCGUGCCAGCAGCCGCGGUAAUACGAAGGGGGCUAGCGUUGUUCGGAAUUACUGGGCGUAAAGCGCACGUAGGCGGAUUGUUAAGUCAGAGGUGAAAUCCCGGAGCUCAACUUCGGAACUGCCUUUGAUACUGGCAAUCUAGAGUCCGGAAGAGGUUAGUGGAAUUCCCAGUGUAGAGGUGAAAUUCGUAGAUAUUGGGAAGAACACCAGUGGCGAAGGCGGCUAACUGGUCCGGUACUGACGCUGAGGUGCGAAAGCGUGGGGAGCAAACGGGAUUAGAUACCCCGGUAGUCCCUGAGCGGGCUGGCAAGGCGCAU
rnacentral:rRNA from 1 species